rnacentral:rRNA from 1 species
UGGGGAAUAUUGGGCAAUGGACGCAAGUCUGACCCAGCAACGCCGCGUGAAGGAAGAAGGCUUUCGGGUUGUAAACUUCUUUGACAGGGGAAGAGUAGAAGACGGUACCCUGAAAACAAGCCACGGCUAACUACGUGCCAGCAGCCGCGGUAAUACGUAGGUGGCAAGCGUUGUCCGGAUUUACUGGGUGUAAAGGGCGUGCAGCCGGGCUGACAAGUCAGAUGUGAAAACCAGGGGCUUAACCUCUGGACUGCAUUUGAAACUGUUGGUCUUGAGUAUCGGAGAGGUGACCGGAAUUCCUAGUGUAGCGGUGAAAUGCGUAGAUAUUAGGAAGAACAGCAGUGGCGAAGGCGGGUUACUGGACGACAACUGACGGUGAGGCGAGAAAGCGUGGGGAGCA